UCCUGGAUUAGGUAUGUGUAUUUAAUUCUGUGAAGGACCCUGGAUUCUGCAGGACAUCCUCAUCACCAAGAGAUGGGGUCUUGCAUAUUUCCCAGGCUGGCCACAAAUUCCUGGCAUCAAGUGAUCGUCUCGCCUCAGCCUUCCAAAUAGCUGGGAUUACAGGUAUAAGCCACCACCCUUGUCUAUGUAAUGUUCUAAACUCUUUGUUGUCAUUUCAACAGUGUUCAUAGAAUCUUCACCAGGAGUAGACUCCAUUUCAAAAAACCUUUCUUUGCUUAUUCAUAAGAAGCAGCUGCUCAUCUCUUCAAGUUUUAUCAUGAGAUUGCAGCAAUUCACCUAUAUCUUCAGCCUCCACUUCUAAUUCUAGUUCUUUUGCUAUUUCCAUAUCUGCUGUCACUUUCUACACUGAAGUCUUCAACCCCUCAAAGUGAUCCAUGAGAGUUGGAAUCAACUUCUUUCAAACUCCUGUUUAUGUUGAUAUUUUGACCUCC
rnacentral:lncRNA from 10 species